AUGAUGUCAUUAAUAGGAGGAGCCAGAGCAGGAAGACUGUACAGCCGACACUGGUGUAGGGAGAUCAGCGCGGCGUGCUGGAGAUCUGGCGGUUUUACAUCUUUCACUAUAGAG